GACGAACGCUGGCGGCGUGCCUAAUACAUGCAAGUCGAGCGAAGUUUUUCUGGUGCUUGCACUAGAAAAACUUAGCGGCGAACGGGUGAGUAACACGUAAAGAACCUGCCUCAUAGACUGGGACAACUAUUGGAAACGAUAGCUAAUACCGGAUAACAGCAUUAACUGCAUGGUUGAUGUUUGAAAGUUGGUUUUGCUAACACUAUGAGAUGGCUUUGCGGUGCAUUAGCUAGUUGGUGGGGUAAAGGCCUACCAAGGCGACGAUGCAUAGCCGACCUGAGAGGGUGAUCGGCCACACUGGGACUGAGACACGGCCCAGACUCCUACGGGAGGCAGCAGUAGGGAAUCUUCCGCAAUGGGCGAAAGCCUGACGGAGCAACGCCGCGUGAGUGAAGAAGGAUUUCGAUUCGUAAAGCUCUGUUGUUAGGGAAGAAUGAUUAUGUAGUAACUAUACAUAGUAGAGACGGUACCU
rnacentral:rRNA from 1 species